rnacentral:rRNA from 1 species
GAAACUAAAACGACUCUCGGCAACGGAUAUCUCGGCUCUCGCAUCGAUGAAGAACGUAGCGAACUGCGAUACUUGGUGUGAAUUGCAGAAUCCCCGUGAACCAUUCGAUUCUUUGAACGCAAGUUGCGCCCGAAGCCAUCCGGCCGAGGGCACGUCUGCCUGGGCGUCACGCAUCGCG